GGAUGCGCUCAUACCAGCACUAAAGAACCGGAUCCCAUCAGAACUCCGAAGUUAAGCGUGCUUGGGCGAGAGUAGUACUAGGAUGGGUGACCAGUAGUACUAGGAUGGGUGACCUCCUGGGAAGUCCUCGUGUUGCAUUCC
rnacentral:rRNA from 2 species